rnacentral:misc_RNA from 1 species
CUGGACUACUGGGGUUUCUAAUCCUGUUUGCUCCCCACGCUUUCGUGCAUGAGCGUCAGUGUUAUCCCAGGAGGCUGCCUUCGCCAUCGGUGUUCCUCCGCAUAUCUACGCAUUUCACUGCUACACGCGGAAUUCCACCUCCCUCUGACACACUCUAGCUCGGUAGUUAAAAAUGCAGUUCCAAAGUUAAGCUCUGGGAUUUCACAUCUUUCUUUCCGAACCGCCUGCGCACGCUUUACGCCCAGUAAUUCCGAUUAACGCUUGCACCCUACGUAUUACCGCGGCUGCUGGCAC